AUAAUGCUGCCAUGCACGCGGUUGCACAAACGUCUCUUUGAUUCUCUGCUUUCAAAACUUAUAGUGUCUUGCAAUGUCGCCCAGGCUGGAGUGCAGUGGUGCCCCUCCUGUUGUGAAUGUAUCUCCUGAUCUGUUUAACUCCUGUGUGUGAAACUUUGUGAUUCAUGCAAUGAGAACAAGGCUUUACGUGAACAGACCAGAGCCCAGGUGCAGGGCGGUCAUUCCAGAGCCCAGGUGCAGCAGGUGCAGGGCGGUCAUUCUGCCCACACAGUGGUUCAGAUCCGUUCAGCAGCCAGCCGCCGGAAGGCCUUCUCCACCUGUUCUUCCCACCUGGGCAUGGUGCUCCUGUUCUAUGGCACCGGCAGCUCCACCUACAUGCGACCCACCACCCGCUACUCCCCGCUGGAAGGGCGCUUGGCUGCUGUCUUCUA
rnacentral:lncRNA from 1 species